GUCCUAGCUGUGCUGAAUACUGUACUAUCUUCAGCACCUGCCUCUCCUGUAGUCCAAGUUUUAUGAAAUCCAUAAACCCAGACAGUAAAAGGUACCUUGUGUCCUUGAUUCUGCUUACCUCUACAACUAGGACUAACUGCCUGUCUUCUACAAGUUAUUCCUGUUCCCAGAAGAGAGUGAACAAAAAGAAGCCACCUUGUACUACCAAGAAAACACAGUCAUGUCCCUGCUGGCCUCUUUCUUGUACGCUGAACACCUGUGAGAGAACCUAGAGACCCUGGAUGGUUUGACUACCUCAGUCACCAGCUACUUUGUGUGCAUCUGUGUAUCUGCGUGUGUAUGAUCCUGGCCACACAGCAUGCAGAUGGAGUCCAUGCUGUUGCACAAGACUAAGCAAGGAAUGGCUCCUAGCUAUGUUCAAGCCCCUCUUUUUCCCCGAGGGAGGGAAAUUCAUAGCAGCUGCUGCCUGUGAUGAUGCUGAAGUAGACCAAUUCAGUACAAAGACACAUGAAAAACCAGAUUUGCAAGUUGUGAAGGAAGUAAAAAAUGAAUCAUCAGAAUCCUCAUCCAUGGAUGAUGAAGAUAGUCCAUUAUGAUAAAAUACAUGUUUUCAUAACAGAAGAGUGGUGUGGAUGGAUGAUGAUGAUGAUAACUUUGACAUUGGCCAUGUGAGCCGAAGUUCCUGAGACAGUGAAAUGGAGCAAAAAUCAACUGAUACAGACAAAGGAAUGGAGACUUCCUUGAUUCAGAUGAGGAAGAAAACAGCAAUGGACCAAUGCAAAAAAAUUGUGGAGAACACUGGUGAACUGACAGGUGAACAGGCAGGGGCACCAUCCCAAAGACCUACUCUGACAACAGGAAAACCAAAAAGAUGUCAGCUGUGCCCUACAAGAAAGGACAAGAAAACAAAACAUACAUGGUCUCAGUAUAAGUGAGACAUGUGCAUGAAACAUGCAGUUGUUACAUGUGAAGACUGCCUUGUGUGUGACAAUUGAAGCAAAGCUUAUUUUUGCUGUAGAGUUCUAUUGGUAUUUUCAUUGUAGUUCAUAUAGAAAUUUCUUUCUUUUUUUUUUUUUUGUACCAGGGAUCAAACUCAGGUCCUUGCGCUUGUGAGGCAGGUGCCAGAACCACUGAGCUAAACCCUGGCUAGAAAUUUGUUUCUGAUGUUAUCUUUUAGGUUUUGCAAGCAAGUACACAGCUGAUGUGAAAAUGUUGAUGGCUGUUCUAAAUGCACAAUAUAUAUUAAGGUUUUAAUACUUUAUUUUAUUGAUAUUUUAAGUUUAUGUUAACUACACACUGUAUAAUGUAAUAAGAAACUCCUGACAGGGCCAAGGAUUUAGCUCAGUGGUUCUGGCGCCUGCCUUGCAAGCACAAGGUUCUGAGUUCAAUCCCUGGUACAAAAAAAAAAAAAACUCCUGACAAAACAGCAAUAUCACUGAGAUGUCAAGUAUAUCCUACAAAAAGGCCAGGAAAGCAAAACACAUGUGCUGUCAGUGUGAGCAAUACACGUAUAUGGAACAUGUUGUUGUCAUGUGUGCAGACUGCCUUAGUUGUGAUAAAUGAAGAUUUUUUUUUGUAAAGUGCUAUUGGUAUUUUCAUUAUAGUUCAUAUAAGAAUUUAUUUGUGUUGUUCUUUUUUAGACUUUGUACACCAAAAAACAGUUGAUGUUGAAAGUUUUGAUGCUUUUUUAUAGACAUUCAAUAAAUAUUAGAAAUUCAAUACUUAAAAAGAA
rnacentral:lncRNA from 1 species